UGCAUGUCUCAGUGCAAGCCACAUUAAGGUGAAACCGCGAAUGGCUCAUUACAUCAGUUAUGGUUCCUUAGAUCGUACCCACAUUACUUGGAUAACUGUGGUAAUUCUAGAGCUAAUACAUGCAAAUAGAGUUCCGACCAGAGAUGGGAGGAAUGCUUUUAUUAGAUCAAAACCAAUCGGUGGCGGGCUUGCCUUGCUUACCGUUUGACUUGGUGACUCUGAAUAACUUUGUGCUGAUCGCACGGUCUCGUACCGGCGACGCAUCUUUCAAAUGUCUGCCUUAUCAACUGUCGAUGGUAGUUUCUGCGACUACCAUGGUUGUUACGGGUAACGGGGAAUCAGGGUUCGAUUCCGGAGAGGGAGCCUGAGAAACGGCUACCACAUCCAAGGAAGGCAGCAGGCGCGCAAAUUACCCACUCCCGGCACGGGGAGGUAGUGACGAAAAAUAACGAUACGGGACUCAUCCGAGGCCCCGUAAUCGGAAUGAGUACACUUUAAAUCCUUUAACGAUUAACAAUUGGAGGGAAAGCCUGGUGCCAGCAGCCGCGGUAAUUCCAGCUCCAAUAGCGUAUAUUAAAGUUGUUGCGGUUAAAAAGCUCGUAGUUGAAUCUGUGUCCCACACUGUCGGUUCACCGCUCGCGGUGUUCAACUGGCAUGUUCGUGGGACGUCCUACCGGUGGGCGCAGCCCCUCAAAAGGCGGCCCAACUCAAAAUCCUACCACGGUGCUCUUCACCGAG
rnacentral:rRNA from 1 species